UACGAAGGGGGCUAGCGUUGCUCGGAAUCACUGGGCGGAAAGGGUGCGUAGGCGGGGCUUUAAGUCAGGGGUGAAAUCCUGGAGCUCAACUCCAGAACUGCCUUUGAUACUGAAGAUCUUGAGUUCGGGAGAGGUGAGUGGAACUGCGAGUGUAGAGGUGAAAUUCGUAGAUAUUCGCAAGAACGCCAGUGGCGAAGGCGGCUCACUGGCCCGAUACUGACGCUGAGGCACGAAAGCGUGGGGAGCAAAC
rnacentral:rRNA from 1 species